UUUUGCAAAAGUAACAACAGGGAAAAAUAAUUUGAGCUGGCAGUAAAGAAGACUUGUAUCUUUUCCACGAAAUAUCUUCGCAAUAAAUUUUCCACCUUCUCUAAGUACAUGUGUGACAAUAGUCAAACCCGCUAGUAUGAGUUGAGACUGAACAAACUCAUCCAUAUCAUGAAGACCAGUGACAUCAGGUGCACCAUCACAUACAACCAGGUCAGCUUUGCAGCCAUCAAAAUGUCUAAUGACCACUUCAGCUGUCCGGGCAUUGGUGAUGUCACCCUGUACUUGAAUAACACCUUCAAUUGGAGCCAUGGGUUGCAAGUCAAUAGCCACAAUAAGAGGAAGAUCAUCAUCCCUUGAAUCUUGUGAAAGCUUUGCCGGCAUAUAUAAUUUACGGCUCAAAACCUGACUCCAGCUACCGGGUGCAGCGCACAAAUCUACCACACGCUUAACCCCUUCAAAUAUGUUGAAUUCCUCAUCUAUCUGAAGAAGCUUAAAGGCACUUCGAGCACGCCAACCUUCUUCUUUAGCUUUUCGAUAGUAGAUAUCCCUCUUAUCCCUCGAUGCUUUUCCCAUGUUUUAAAAUUCACUACUCUUGCUUUGGUUUUGGUCAGAGGGUGAAUAUGCACUUCUUCUCAAGUGUUUUGAUCUGGUUAAACGAACGCUUCUAACGAACAAGGAGCAAAGGUAAAAGAAUCAGAAUAGAAUCCUGUAGCACGCGCGGCGACGACGUUUGAGCUAUUUUCUAGUUGGCG
rnacentral:misc_RNA from 1 species